rnacentral:rRNA from 1 species
AUUGAACGCUGGCGGCAUGCUUUACACAUGCAAGUCGAACGGCAGCACAGGGAGCUUGCUCCUGGGUGGCGAGUGGCGAACGGGUGAGUAAUGUAUCGGAACGUGCCUGGUAGUGGGGGAUAACUACUCGAAAGAGUGGCUAAUACCGCAUGAGAUCUUUGGAUGAAAGCGGGGGACCUUCGGGCCUCGUGCUACUGGAGCGGCCGAUAUCAGAUUAGGUUGUUGGUGGGGUAAAGGCCUACCAAGCCUGCGAUCUGUAGCUGGUCUGAGAGGACGACCAGCCACACUGGGACUGAGACACGGCCCAGACUCCUACGGGAGGCAGCAGUGGGGAAUUUUGGACAAUGGGCGCAAGCCUGAUCCAGCAAUGCCGCGUGCAGGACGAAGGCCUUCGGGUUGUAAACUGCUUUUGUACAGAACGAAAAGGCUCUGGCUAAUAUCUAGAGAUCAUGACGGUACUGGAAGAAUAAGCACCGGCUAACUACGUG